UACGUAGGGUGCAAACGUUGCUCGGAAUCACUGGGCGUAAAGGGCGUGUAGGCGGGUAGGCAAGUCGGGCGUGAAAUCCCUGAGCUCAACUCAGGAACUGCACUCGAAACUGCUUAUCUUGAGUGCCGGAGAGGAAAGCGGAAUACCUGGUGUAGAGGUGAAAUUCGUAGAUAUCAGGUGGAACACCAGUGGCGAAGGCGGCUUUACUGGACGGUAACUGACGCUGAAGACGCGAAAGCGUGGGGAGCAAACAGG
rnacentral:rRNA from 1 species